GCAGUCGUGCCCUAAUGGAUAGAGUCUUGGACUUGCAACCUGAAGGUUCUGGGUUCGAGUCUCAGGUCCGGCA